rnacentral:tRNA from 1 species
GUUCUUGUGCGGCGUUGCACUGAUGUAUCUUGUGAUGAUGCGCACAAUGAAAAAACGCAUGGCAGAAGGCGCGAUGCCUUCCUAAAACGC